AGCAACAAGUUGACAAAUUUGAAUCGUACGAAAACUUUCGAUCAAUUUUGUGAUUACUUCUGUUUCUUUGCGAUCGUCCGUGAUUUAUUGUGAUCCUAUUGUGAAUAUUUGUGUUUCCUUGUGAUUUAUCGUGACUCUAUGUAACGAAUAAUUUAGACGAGUAAUGAUACAACUAAAAAAAGGUUUUGAAAAGGCACGAGAGUCAGUUUCGAAGGUUUUCUCUCGCUGAAUAGCGUCGGUGGUCCGUCGAGGAUGGGAAAGUCAGCUCGAGCCGGGUGGCACAGCGCGUAACGCCAAAGAGAGACGAGAUAGAAGGCGUUUCGAAAUACGAGAUGCGCAUAAUUAUACGCGCCUACUUAGAUGCAUCGGGAAUGCAGCGUAGUCCUCCGUUUUUCUGGCACGCCCAGAGCUGCCGUCCACCUUUCGAUCGGCCUUUGUGAUGCCACCGAGACUUCUUGCCUUUUAUGGCGCAUAACGCGCUGCACCGUGAGAUCGAUGGACAUAAUUUAAACCGGGUUAGAUCGUCUCUCGUAGAUCAACGAACGGGUCUGACUCGAUUCAGAACACGUGCCGGAAGGAAGACUCUUUCGUAUGAUGGACGCGCACUACCGACGACGUGAUUUUCACCUUGACCAUGGGCGGGUCAUCGUCCAUCGUUGUACCUUCAAGUUCUCGCGUGGAACCUCGAAAUUUAAUGUGGGACAGCCAUUGCCACGUCGACAUCAUUAACAUCGACAACAUGGUCCCCUAUUGCGACGACAGAAGCCGAGGAAUGUGCGUGGGCGUACAGAGAAGGUGUGGUGCAUGCCUCGAGGACAAUGCAAAGUGAAUUCGAGCGGUCGUGUCUGCGAACGACGCUCGAAAAUGGGUCGACCAGGCGUUUUGUUCGAGAUCGACGCGGAUCUGCUCCGGUUUUACGGGGCGAUGAUUCCUCGGGGUCGUCGACUUUCGUUUCGAUGAUCGACGAAGGACGAAUCGACCUUUUAUUUCGUUCACGAAACUCGCUCACCUCAACGGUAUAACGAAACCUUGACGUGGGUAACUUUUACCGAUUUCACGGCGAAAAAUGGGCCGCAGACGUGGAGUCGAUCGUUCUCGAUUAAAUUAUCGAUUCGUUCGCUGAUUUUAAUGUUCACAGACGGAGUGAAUAACAGAGCUGUAGAUUCUUAUAAGUGGAUACUCCUGUUUCGCGAGUUCUUUGAAGAAUUUAUUUAUAAAAACUUUGAAGCAUUCAGUGUUAAACUUUUGUACGUUUAUUUGUUUUAUGAUUUUAUUUAUAAUAUCAAUUAGUUGGUGAAAAAGCCCUUCGAGCAGAGUUUACCAGAUUAUUGGUCUUCUUCAAAUUAAUAGUGUAUAAUAACCUAACAGAUUAAGUGUAUGGUAUGUACAUACACAAUUGUUAUGGAGCAAGUAAAAACUUUAAUGCAUCUACGAAGGUGACCAAUAAUCUCGUUGAGAACGAUUAUAGUUGAUUAUUAAC